UAAGAAAGGAAGUUAAACAAUGAAGAAAGUAUAAUUGUUCUAUUGUAAAUAGAACUAUUGUUCCAGUCUUAAUUAUGUGAUUGAGGUUAUGAACAUGAAUGAGGUUAUGGACAUGAAUGAACAGAACUACAAUUCUUUAUUUGAUUGUUAAGUUGAUCUACUUCUUUAAAUACAGAUUUCUAUGAAUUUCAGUGAAAUAUAUUAUUAAAUAUUUAAAAAAAACUAUUUAAAAAAAGAUAUAGAAACAGUUGAAUUUAUCAAAAAGAUAAAAAAAAUAGAUCAAAAGAAAAAAACUUUUCAAACAAAGAACAAUGAUCGGUAUAACUGGAAGAACCACACAAGUAAAAAUUAGACAGUCAGCAAAUAGGAAACGCACGAAAGGGAAAGCAAAAGAGCGAAAGCAUCGCAUCGAUGGAAAGUGAAGGAGGGUGAGAGGAGGUUGGCGGAAAAAUGUGGAAAGAGACUGAGCUAAAUUAAAGGGCGUCGCGAACAAAGGCGAAUGUGCUUCGAGAGCAAAACAGGCUGCGAGUAGUAUAGGUAUACGCUACAUAGGUGGCCAUGGGGGUGUCUACGUUUGCCUCUUCGUGUCAGAUCUAAGCGCGUGGCUGUAGUGCUGUUGUUGGCUGACGAGAAUAGAGAUGGAAAGCGAAGAUACGCAGUGAAUUUCAAUGUGUUCUGUGAUUCGUGCCCAGAAAACUAUUUUCCUCAACGUAGUUGAAGAGAAAGAAAAGAAUGAAU